rnacentral:rRNA from 1 species
GAGUUUGAUCAUGGCUCAGAUUGAACGCUGGCGGCAUGCCUUACACAUGCAAGUCGAACGGCAGCACGGGAGCUUGCUCCUGGUGGCGAGUGGCGAACGGGUGAGUAAUGCGUCGGAACGUAUCCUGGAGUGGGGGAUAACGUAGCGAAAGUUACGCUAAUACCGCAUAUUCUGUGAGCAGGAAAGCGGGGGACCUUCGGGCCUCGCGCUCUUGGAGCGGCCGAUGUCGGAUUAGCUAGUUGGUGAGGUAAAGGCUCACCAAGGCGACGAUCCGUAGCAGGUCUGAGAGGAUGAUCUGCCACACUGGAACUGAGACACGGUCCAGACUCCCUACGGGAGGCAGCAGUGGGGAAUUUGGACAAUGGGGGCAACCCUGAUCCAGCCAUGCCGCGUGAGUGAAGAAGGCCUCGGU